UACGUAGGGUGCAAGCGUUAAUCGGAAUUACUGGGCGUAAAGCGUGCGCAGGCGGUUAUGUAAGACAGUUGUGAAAUCCCCGGGCUCAACCUGGGAACUGCAUCUGUGACUGCAUAGCUAGAGUACGGUAGAGGGGGAUGGAAUUCCGCGUGUAGCAGUGAAAUGCGUAGAUAUGCGGAGGAACACCGAUGGCGAAGGCAGCCCCCUGGGUUAACACUGACGCUCAUGCACGAAAGCGUGGGGAGCAAACAGG
rnacentral:rRNA from 1 species